rnacentral:lncRNA from 1 species
AUCAAGUGAUUGUAUAAAAAUGCACAUGCGUGCUUUCCAAUGUGUAUAGUUUAUGCCAUUAAAUAGUGGAGGUCUAUCAAUUAAUUGUCCCUCUCCUAGAAAACUAUCUAUUUGAGUUGUCAUGAUCUUUGGCUCUUUGACGGUUAGGUCAAACACAAGGCAAGAAGCUAUAGAGCACCUGCUCUGAUACCACUUGUUGCCCAGUAGAUACAACCCAAGAGGGGGGGUGAAUUGGGUCUUUUAAAACUUUUAACCUACUUCUAAAAGUUUUUGAUUAAUUAUGCUAAGUUGUAUAGAUGCACAGUGAAAGUUAAACUUAGCAACAGUUUGAUGUAUAGAAUGUGACUUGAUUGAAUAUGCUUGCUACUAAAGAAUUCGCGGAUAAUAGUUAAGCAUGCAGUUUAUCUAAGUGAGUAAGUGUGUACGUUAGACAAUAACAAGAAGCAUUACAAACACAACAAACAUAUAGUGGUUCGGUGCACCCCAGCACCUACAUCCACUCCCCAAGACCUCUUGGGAAUUUCACUAUAAUCCUACAGAUUANN